CCUACGGUGGGCAGCAGUGGGGAAUAUUGCACAAUGGGGGAAACCCUGAUGCAGCAACGCCGCGUGAGUGAAGAAGGUUUUCGGAUCGUAAAGCUCUGUUAGCAGGGAAGAGCAAGGGCGGUACCUGCAGAGGAAGCCACGUCUAACUCCGUGCAAGAAGCUGCGGUAAUACGUAGGUGGAAAGCGUUGUUCGGAAUAACUGGGCGUAAAGGAUGCGUAGGCGGUUAAACAAGUUAUAUGUUAAAUAUAUAGGCUUAACCUGUAGAAAGCAUAUAAAACUGUUUAACUAGAGUGCAGGAGAGGUAAGUGGAAUUCCUAGUGUAGCGGGGAAAGGCGUAGAGAUUAGGAAGAACACCAGGGGCGAAGGCGACUUACUGGACUGUAACUGACGCUGAGGCAUGAGAGCAUGGGGAGCAAACAGGAUUAGAUACCCGAGUAGUC
rnacentral:rRNA from 1 species